rnacentral:rRNA from 1 species
CCAGACUCCUACGGGAGGCAGCAGUGGGGAAUAUUGCACAAUGGGCGAAAGCCUGAUGCAGCAACGCCGCGUGAAGGAAGACGGUUUUCGGAUUGUAAACUUCUAUCAAUAGGGAAGAAAGAAAUGACGGUACCUAAAUAAGAAGCCCCGGCUAACUACGUGCCAGCAGCCGCGGUAAUACGUAGGGGGCAAGCGUUAUCCGGAAUUACUGGGUGUAAAGGGAGAGUAGGUGGCAAGGCAAGUCAGAUGUGAAAGCCCGGGGCCCAACCCCGGUACUGCAUUUGAAACUGUCCGGCUGGAGUGCAGGAGAGGUAAGCGGAAUUCCUAGUGUAGCGGUGAAAUGCGUAGAUAUUAGGAGGAACACCAGUGGCGAAGGCGGCUUACUGGACUGUAACUGACACUGAGGCACGAAAGCGUGGGGAGCAAACAGGAUUAGAUACCCCAGUAU